GAAGAGGAACUAGGCGAUGGAGUAUGUCGUGAUGGAGGCCUUUGUUGUUCUGAACUUGAGUCUUCAGAAAAUAUAUCGCGAUCUGUGAGUAUUACCACAAUUGACAAGUCGGCACGAAAUCAUAAUUUUUGGCAAGUGGCGCUCAGGUAGCAGAAGAAAGAAAGUUAAAUUAUUUUCUGCAUUCAGUACCCUAUCGGAAGCACAUUGACAAGUAUCGGUAACCGCAUGUUGGUGAUACUUUGUUAUUUAUUACGAAGUAGUUUUGUUGUUAGCAUUAUAUAUGUGAAAAGAUGAACAAUCAAUGGAUCGAAGACAAGUCAAAAAAUAUAAUCUAAACCUGUAACCUCGGGCUCUAAUUUGCCCCACUAGAGGCGUGCAUGGGCACAGGUUGCGCCGAAAUCGUUGCCAAAAAGUCAGCAGGUGCCGCCAGCUGACAGAUGAGUAUCGCCGAAAAUAAAUCGCAACAGGAAAAAACGUAAAAGGAUCUUUAGAAUUUUAAAUAAUAAUAAAAGAACAAGUAUGAUAGAA